UUCAGUUACCUGACAAUACCAUUUAGUGUUUCAAUGGUUGAUUUGCUAUCACAGAACCAAACUAGUAACAUAUACAUCACACGGGAAGCUGAAUUUCUUCAGCGAAUAUAUCCUCAAGGCCUCAGUUUG